GGUAAAACCAGCACCUCAAGUGGUCAGGAUGAUUAUUGGGCCUAAAGCAUCCGUAGCCGGCUCUGUAAGUUUUCGGUUAAAUCUGUACGCUCAACGUACCAGGCUGCCGGGAAUACUGCAGAGCUAGGAGUGGGAGAGGUAGACGGUACUCGGUAGGAAGGGGUAAAAUCCUUUGAUCUAUUGAUGACCACCUGUGGCGAAGGCGGUCUACCAGAACACGUCCGACGGUGAGGGAUGAAAGCUGGGGGAGCAAACCGGAUUAGAUACCCGGGUAGUCCCAGCUGUAAACUAUGCAAACUCAGUGAUGCAUUGGCUUGUGGCCAAUGCAGUGCUGCAGGGAAGCCGUUAAGUUUGCCGCCUGGGAAGUACGUACGCAAGUAUGAAAC
rnacentral:rRNA from 1 species